UGGGCUGUGGCUGCCUCGAUAUUGUCUA
rnacentral:sRNA from 1 species